rnacentral:misc_RNA from 1 species
GAUGAAGAACGCAGCGAAAUGCGAUAAGUAAUGUGAAUUGCAGAAUCCAGUGAAUCAUCGAAUCUUUGAACGCACAUUGCGCCCGCCAGCAUUCUGGCGGGCAUGCCUGUUCGAGCGUCAUUUCAACCCUCGACCUCCCUUUGGGGAAGUCGGCGUUGGGGACCGGCAGCACACCGCCGGCCCUGAGAUGGAGUGGCGGCCCGUCCGCGGCGACCUCUGCGUAGUAAUCCAACUCGCACCGGAACCCCGACGCGGCCACGCCGUAAAACACCCAACUUCUGAACGUUGACCUCGAAUCAGGUAGGACUACCCGCUGAACUUAAGCAUAUCAAUAAGCGGAGGA